rfam:Myotis lucifugus cont2.36535, whole genome shotgun sequence.
GGGACACCCCUCUGGGGCAAGACUUGCUUCAAUGGGGCUUUGGUGCUCACUGAGUCUGCCCGCUGAGUGCGUCCUU